rnacentral:lncRNA from 1 species
UAGGGCCGUGUGUGCUUGGCAAGCUGCAGGGCCUCUGCUCCCAAAGCCUGUGCCUCCUGCCGCCAAGGCCCGCCUGGUUGCUGGAGACGGAAAUGAGAUGGCAUACACAGAGCUCCUGGUACAGGCAGUGGUCAGUUCCAUUCAUGUUGAAAGGUGUACCCCAGCCUCUCUCUUCCACUUUCCUCAGCACCAAGCCAACGCAGGCAAAUUCAUAGGUUUUCCUUAAGACAAUACCACUUUAGCCAGACGUGGUAACUCCCCAAGUUUCCAAGCACAGUUAGAGAUCUUCCUACCCUUCUGCUCCUAAGACAUGCCUGCUUGUGGCCAAUAGAGAAUGAGAGCAGAUUUCUGCUUACCUAUGCGGC